rnacentral:ncRNA from 1 species
AUUCCAGGCUAUUCAUUUACAGGUUACUCGUGGCCUGAGUGAGGAAGUCAAUGUCCUUGCUAGUCACUAUUUGUGGCGACACCUUCAAAUUGCGUGAAACCCGUCAUACAGCUCCAAGCACCACUUCAAUUGAGAAAUCUUUUGAAGGAACAGAGGUAACUCCUCUUCCCAAAGGUAACAAGCUUGAAGACAAGGUGGCAAUGCGCAGCCAAGCUCCUAAGUCAGUCGAUAUGGAGAAGGUUCAGAGAGCAGACGGAGGUGGGCGGUAAUUUAACCGCUUAAGGUGUGCUCCAGCCUCUUUCGAAAGAUUGAG